GAUGAACGCUGGCGGCGUGCCUAAUACAUGCAAGUCGAGCGAACAGACGAGGAGCUUGCUCCUCUGACGUUAGCGGCGGACGGGUGAGUAACACGUGGAUAACCUACCUAUAAGACUGGGAUAACUUCGGGAAACCGGAGCUAAUACCGGAUAACAUGUUGAACCGCAUGGUUCAACAGUGAAAGACGGUCUUGCUGUCACUUAUAGAUGGAUCCGCGCCGCAUUAGCUAGUUGGUAAGGUAACGGCUUACCAAGGCAACGAUGCGUAGCCGACCUGAGAGGGUCAUCGGCCACACUGGAACUGAGACACGGUCCAGACUCCUACGGGAGGCAGCAGUAGGGAAUCUUCCGCAAUGGGCGAAAUCCUGACGGAGCAACGCCGCGUGAGUGAAGAAGGUCUUCGGAUCGUAAAACUCUGUUAUUAGGGAAGAACAAAUGUGUAAGUAACUAUGCACGUCUUGACGGUACCUAAUCAGAAAGCCACGGCUAACUACGUG
rnacentral:rRNA from 1 species